rnacentral:rRNA from 1 species
AUGCUUGUCUCAAAGAUUAAGCCAUGCAUGUCUAAGUAUAAGCAAUAUAUACCGUGAAACUGCGAAUGGCUCAUUAAAUCAGUUAUCGUUUAUUUGAUAGUACCUUACUACUUGGAUAACCGUGGUAAUUCUAGAGCUAAUACAUGCUAAAAACCCCGACUUCGGAAGGGGUGUAUUUAUUAGAUAAAAAACCAAUGCCCUUCGGGGCUCACUGGUGAUUCAUAAUAACUUAACGAAUCGCAUGGCCUUGUGCCGGCGAUGGUUCAUUCAAAUUUCUGCCCUAUCAACUUUCGAUGGUAUGGUCUUGGCUUACCAUGGUUUCAACGGAUAACGGGGAAUUAGGGUUCUAUUCCGGAGAGGGAGCCUGAGAAACGGCUACCACAUCCAAGGAAGGCAGCAGGCGCGCAAAUUACCCAAUCCUGAUACAGGGAGGUAGUGACAAUAAAUACUGAUACAGGGCUCUUUUGGGUCUUGUAAUUGGAAUGAGUACAAUUUAAAUCCCUUAACGAGGAACAACUGGGGGGCGAGUCUGGUGCCAGCAGCC